rnacentral:rRNA from 1 species
UACGUAGGUGGCAAGCGUUGUCCGGAUUUACUGGGCGUAAAGAGCGCGCAGGCGGUCGUUCAAGUCGCGUGUGAAAGCCCCCGGCUCAACUGGGGAGGGUCACGCGAUACUGAUCGACUCGAAGGCAGGAGAGGGUAGUGGAAUUCCCGGUGUAGUGGUGAAAUGCGUAGAUAUCGGGAGGAACACCAGUGGCGAAGGCGAGUCUCUGGACGACUCCUGACACUGAGGCACGAAAGCUGGGGGAGCAAACAGG